CAAUCAGCAAGUAUACUGCCCUAG
rnacentral:miRNA from 1 species